CCAGACUCCUACGGGAGGCAGCAGUGGGGAAUAUUGCACAAUGGGCGCAAGCCUGAUGCAGCCAUGCCGCGUGUGUGAAGAAGGCCUUCGGGUUGUAAAGCACUUUCAGCGAGGAGGAAGGUGGUGAACUUAAUACGUUCAUCAAUUGACGUUACUCGCAGAAGAAGCACCGGCUAACUCCGUGCCAGCAGCCGCGGUAAUACGGAGGGUGCAAGCGUUAAUCGGAAUUACUGGGCGUAAAGCGCACGCAGGCGG
rnacentral:rRNA from 3 species